rnacentral:rRNA from 1 species
AUCUACGGCCAUACCACCCUGAACACACCCGAUCGUCUGAUCUCGGAAGCUAAGCAGGGUUGGGCCUGGUUAGUACUUUCAUGGGAGAAAGAUAGACACCUGCAGACC